CAAACCCGUCCCUCUCGCUGUUGUAAAUACAGGCUGCUCUGUGCCCCGUCUCCAGGGACUCUGUUCCGUGGGCCGUACAGCAUUGUUUGUGAGAACAGCUCAGGAGCCAGACUCACCAGCUGCUGCCACUCUCUCGGGCUUCAGACUCUUCGUCUGUGGAUGUGAGGGGCACAGUGCCUAUGGCUUGGUGUGUAGCAUAGCUGGUGACCACAUGGGAAGCACCAAGCAGAGGAUGUUCGUGUGACAGCAGCUGAUUUUAAAGUAGCACUGCAGGUGCCCUAGAUGCUGGCAAGGCUUUAUUUUAUUCUUUUAAUUAAUUAAAUUAGAAUAAUCCCACAGUCCUACCUUUCCUUUCCUUCCUCAAACCCUUCCCAGCCCCUCCAACCACCUCUUAAACCGAUGGCCCCUUUUUUAGUGAAUUAUUUGGUUAUUUGCAGAAAUACGUAAAUACAAUAUGCUGAGUUCAUUUAGUGUUGCUUGCAUGUAUAUGGUUUCAGGGAUGACCAUUUUGUUUUGGAUAACUAAUUAGGAGACGCAUCCCUGAGGGGGGGAAAAAAACCGAAUCCUCCCUUCACUCUGUGGUCCUUAGUUGCCUGGAGUUCUUUGCCUAGGGAUGGGACUCCGUGAACUUCCCCCUUGUUAGCAUGUCUAUUGGUAUCACCAUUGUGUCAUUUAGGCAGCUGGGUCGUAGAGAUGUCAUGGGUACAGCUUUGUUUCUAGGAGAUGCAAUCUUAGCAGCUUUCCUGGUCCUCUGCCUCUUAGGGUCUUUCCUCUUCUGAAAUGUUCGCUGAGUCUUAGGGGCAGGAGCCGUGUUGUAGAUGUGUCUAUCGGGAUGGACUUCCCACAGUCAGGUGAUCUCUGCAUCAUGACCAGUUGUGGUUUUCUGUGAUGGUCUCUGCUUGCUGCAAAGAAAACCUUCUUUGAUGUGGGAUGAGAGCUACAGUUAUCUGUGGGAAUAAGGAAC
rnacentral:lncRNA from 1 species